rnacentral:rRNA from 1 species
GCGGCAGGCCUAAUACAUGCAAGUCGAACGGCAGCACAGUGGAGCUUGCUCCAUGGGUGGCGAGUGGCGGACGGGUGAGGAAUACAUGGGAAUCUGCCCAGUCGUGGGGGAUAACGUAGGGAAACUUACGCUAAUACCGCAUGCGCCCUUCGGGGGAAAGCCGGGGACCUUCGGGCCUGGCGCGAUUGGAUGAGCCCAUGUCGGAUUAGCUAGUUGGCGGGGUAACGGCCCACCAAGGCGACGAUCCGUAGCUGGUCUGAGAGGAUGAUCAGCCACACUGGAACUGUGACACGGUCCAGACUCCUACGGGAGGCAGCAGUAGGGAAUAUUGGACAAUGGGCGCAAGCCUGAUCCAGCCAUGCCGCGUGAGUGAAGAAGGCCCUCGGGUUGUAAAGCUCUUUUGUCCGGAAAGAAAAGCAUCCAGUUAAUACCUGGGUGUCCUGACGGUACCGGAAGAAUAAGCACCGGCUAACUUCGUGCCAGCAGCCGCGGUAAUACGAAGGGUGCAAGCGUUACUCGGAAUUACUGGGCGUAAAGCGUGCGUAGGUGGUUUGUUAAGUCUGAUGUGAAAGCCCUGGGCUCAACCUGGGAAUGGCAUUGGAUACUGGCAGGCUAGAGUGCGGUAGAGGGUAGUGGAAUUCCCGGUGUAGCAGUGAAAUGCGUAGAGAUCGGGAGGAACAUCUGUGGCGAAGGCGACUACCUGGACCAGCCCUGACUCUGAGGCCCGAAAGCGUGGGG